GCAGUGGGAGAUCUGAGUUAACUCCUUGUUCUGCUCCAGACAUUCAAAACAUCCUGGACAGGCCAUUUUAUGUCAGCUUCCUGUAUGAAACAGGAUCAUAAGAACAAUUUUAGGCCUGCCAUACUGCCAUCAUUCUAUAGCAUGGCAUAGUGCACUGACGACCGUGGUGAUGGGGGACACAUCAGUGGAAAUAUAUCACGGGAAUGUGAGAUUUCUGCUGCCCUUUGAUAGUGCCAGAAUAUCUUUACACACGGAGCCAUCAGAUUCAGAAGACAGUAAAUGAAGUGCCUUUCUUUCAUGAAGACACAAAACCCCACUGCUUCUUUCAUAAAUCACAUUCAGAAGGGACAUACGUACAUGCCUUAAAGUCUGAAAUUACAGUUUUAGUGAGUAACCUGAAGUUCUUUUUCAAAUCAUGAAAAGAAAUAUAGUUCUGUGUUUUAUAAUGACCUAGCAAAAAAUCCGGAUAUUAAUUUUGUUUUUAUAUCACUCUCUGAUUUAUGCCUUGUUUAUUAUUCCCUAGGAAAGCUCAUGACUGAAGAAAUACUAAUAUUGGAUUUUCUUUUUCCUCACAAAACCAAUGUUGCUUUAUUUGCUACGGAAAGAUAAGGUUUCUUCAAACACGUAAGUUAAUAUUAUGAGACCUACACACUUACAAAGGGGUAAGAAUAAAGUUCAUAUUUGUGGCCUAUUGACUGUAGCA
rnacentral:lncRNA from 1 species